GUAAUUGUAGGAAGCACCCUCACAUAUCAUACAUUCAAAACAAUUUGGACUCAUAAAUCAUAAUUCUUGAAUUUAUCCCAACAAGAAAUGAAAUUAUAGCAAGUAAAGAAAAGAACAAACAAAAUCAAUUAACAAUCUUUUUUUUUUACAGGGCACAAAGAGCAGUCGAAUAACGUUUUAUUCGAAGAUGGCUCAGUCU
rnacentral:lncRNA from 1 species